rnacentral:rRNA from 1 species
AACGGUGGAGCUUGCGGUUUAAUUGGAUUCAACGCCGGAAAUCUUACCGGGACCGACAGCAAUAUGAAGGCCAGGCUGAAGACUUUGCCGGAUUAGCUGAGAGGUGGUGCAUGGCCGUCGUCAGUUCGUACUGUGAAGCAUCCUGUUAAGUCAGGCAACGAGCGAGACCCACGCCCACAGUUGCCAGCGUACUCUCUGGAGUGACGGGUACACUGUGGGGACCGCCGCUGCUAAAGCGGAGGAAGGAAUGGGCAACGGUAGGUCAGUAUGCCCCGAAUAUCCCGGGCUACACGCGAGCUACAAUGGUUGGUACAAUGGGUAUCUACCCCGAAAGGGGACGGGAAUCUCCUAAAACCAAUCUUAGUUCGGAUUGAGGGCUGCAACUCGCCCUCAUGAAGCUGGAAUCCGUAGUAAUCGCGUUUCAACAGAACGCGGUGAAUACGUCCCUGCUCCUU